GCCAGGUGUGGUAGCACACACCUGUAAUCCCAGCAGCUCAGAGGCUGAGGCAGGAGGAUCGCGGAUUCAAAACCAGCCUCAGUAAUGGUGAGGCGCUAAGCAACUCAGUGAGUCCCUGUCUCUA
rnacentral:sRNA from 1 species